rnacentral:rRNA from 1 species
UACGGAGGGUGCAAGCGUUAUCCGGAUUUAUUGGGUUUAAAGGGUCCGCAGGCGGAUAAUUAAGUCAGAGGUGAAAUCCUACAGCUUAACUGUAGAACUGCCUUUGAUACUGGUUAUCUUGAGUAUAGUUGAAGUAGGCGGAAUACGUUGUGUAGCGGUGAAAUGCAUAGAUAUGACGUAGAACACCAAUUGCGAAGGCAGCUUACUAAGCUAUUACUGACGCUCAUGGACGAAAGUAUGGGGAGCGAACAGG